rnacentral:misc_RNA from 1 species
AAAUGCGAUAAGUAAUGUGAAUUGCAGAAUUCAGUGAAUCAUCGAAUCUUUGAACGCACAUUGCGCCCGCCAGCACUCUGGCGGGCAUGCCUGUUCGAGCGUCAUUUCAACCCUCAGAACCCCUUGCGGGAUCUGGCGUUGGGGAUUGGCAUCCAGCCAGCCCCGAAAUCUAGUGGCGGUCCCUCCGCGACCUCCCCUGUGCAGUAGCGAUACCUCGCAGCGGGACAGCGGUCUGACCACGCCGUAAAACCCCCAACUUCUCAAGGUUUACCUCGAAUCAGGUAGGAAUACCCGCUGAACUUAAGC